GCCCGAUGAACCUGAAUAUCCAUUAUGGAAAAUUCAUCAUUAGAGUUAUAAUAUUUUAACAAUAUUAUACAAAUAAUGUGCAUUUUUUCCAUAUAAGGACAUUGUAAUCUAUUAACAUAUAAAAAUUUAUCAUAAAAUAUGGCUUAUAGUUUAUUCAAAUUAUUAUGCUUGCAUUUUAACACAGAAUAAAUGUCAUUAAUUUGAUAAAGUGUUGAUAGAUUAAUAAAAAUACAGUGCGUUAAUUUUUCGGAAUUAUAUAAUGGCAUAAUUAUCAAUGAUUUUUAUGUUUAUUAUAUGCAUUUGUAUGAUUAACAAUGCGAAAGAUUCAGGAUACUUCGGG
rnacentral:rRNA from 1 species